GGAAUUGUUCACAAUGGGCGCAAGCCUGAUGACGCAACGCCGCGUGGAGGAUGAAGGUCUUCGGAUUGUAAACUCCUGUUGCCCGGGACGAACGGCUCCAACCUAACACGUUGGAGAUUGACGGUACCGGGUGAGGAAGCCCCGGCCAACUCUGUGCCAGCAGCCGCGGUAAUACAGAGGGGGCAAGCGUUGUUCGGAAUUACUGGGCGUAAAGGGCGCGUAGGUGGCCUGCUAAGUCGAACGUGAAAUCCCCGAGCUCAACUCGGGAACUGCGUCCGAUACUGGCAGGCUUGAAUCCGGGAGAGGGAUGUGGAAUUCAAGGUGUAGCGGUGAAAUGCGUAGAUAUCUGGAGGAACACCGGUGGCGAAGGCGACAUCCUGGACCGGUAUUGACGCUGAGGCGCGAAAGCCAGGGGAGCAAAC
rnacentral:rRNA from 1 species